rnacentral:misc_RNA from 1 species
GGGCACCCAGAAGUACUGAAAAACUUUGUGCAUGGCUUCGAUUUGCUUCCUAUACCAGUUGGAAAGGACUCCAUUUCUUGCUUGGUUUUCUUGGGACCGCCAUUGCCAUUCAGAGCAGCCUCGGCCCUGCCUCUCUUGCGACCGCCGCCGUACUCCAUUGCAAUUUGAGAUCCACCAGUAAGAGCAAGGAAGAGAAUAGCGAGCUAGGGUUUCGAAGAGAGAGAAAGAGAAGGAAAAGAAGAGAGCGGGGCUGGGGGGUGACUGAUGAGAAACGGAAAUGAA